UAACCUGCCUCAUACAGGGGGAUAACAGUUAGAAAUGACUGCUAAUACCGCAUAAGCGCACAGCAUCGCAUGAUGCCGUGUGAAAAACUCCGGUGGUAUGAGAUGGACCCGCGUCUGAUUAGCUAGUUGGUGAGGUAAUGGCCCACCAAGGCGACGAUCAGUAGCCGACCUGAGAGGGUGACCGGCCACAUUGGGACUGAGACACGGCCCAA
rnacentral:rRNA from 1 species